rnacentral:rRNA from 1 species
GUGAGGAAUCUUCCACAAUGGGCGAAAGCCUGAUGGAGCAACGCCGCGUGCAGGAUGAAGGCCUUCGGGUUGUAAACUGCUUUUAUUAGCGAAGAAUAUGACGGUAGCAUAUGAAUAAGGAUCGGCUAACUCCGUGCCAGCAGCCGCGGUCAUACGGAGGAUCCAAGCGUUAUCCGGAAUUACUGGGCGUAAAGAGUUGCGUAGGUGGCAUAGUAAGUUGGUAGUGAAAUUGUAUGGCUCAACCAUACACCCAUUACUAAAACUGCUAAGCUAGAGUAUAUGAGAGGUAGCUGGAAUUCCUAGUGUAGGAGUGAAAUCCGUAGAUAUUAGGAGGAACACCGAUGGCGUAGGCAGGCUACUGGCAUAUUACUGACACUAAGGCACGAAAGCGUGGGGAGCAAACGGGAUUAGAAACCCUAGUAGUCC